UGUCUAGAGGGCAAGAUGUAUGAGGAGUGGCUGAAGUCAGUUGAAUUGUUCAGCCUAGAGAACAGGAAAUGGGAGACCUCACAAUGGCCUACAGUUUCCUCACGAGGGGAGCAGAAGGGCAGGCACUGAGCUCUGCUCUCUGCUGACAGUGACAGGACCCAAUGGAAUGGCAUGGAGCUGCAACAGGGGACAUUCAGUCUGGAUGUUAUGAAAAGUGCUAACUCCUGGGAGAGCCCAGGAAACAGGUGAAGAGCUGAGCUGAGUACAGAGGGCUUCAUCAAAAUCAUACAAGUGGGACACUAAUGGACAAGUUAAUUAACAUUUCCUGCUCCUGGAGGGAAAAAGGUACAUGCAACAAAGCUGUUAAACUUGUCACCUUAAAUGAACUGAAGAUGAGAACUGAUAUAUAAAAAUAUCUGCAGCACAUGCAUAUCACAGUAUUGCCAUAGAAGAAAUUCUUCCAUCUCAGCCUGCAGAUUGCUUGGAUUCAUGAGGAACAGAAAAAUACAUAGCGAUAUGCUGAUUAUCAUAUGUUCACUUUUAGAGUGACUGAAUAAGGUUAUAUUGGUGAGAAAUUAAAUCUGAUAUUGAAUUUGAGGUGUAUAGAUA